ensembl:processed_transcript
CGAUCGAGUACAGUGAACAGUGAUUUAAUGACUUUAGCGACUUGUUUUGCAUCUCAAACAGCAAAUAAUAUGUCGACUGUGUUUUUUACUCGAGAUAAUUUGAUCACGCCUGUAUUUGUCAACAAUAAUCAUCAGAGUGACACGAUGGCUUCUCCUACACCUCGUAACACGACGAGAAGCCCAACAGAAAACCCAGAGAACGGGAGGAAAGGGAAAAGAGUCUCUGCUUUCUUUAAGAGAGUAUGGAAGGCUGCAAAGCGCCCUUUCCUUAGCUCUGACCGGAGCAGAGUGGUUCCCUUUGAACCACAGUCAGAUAACGACAAUUUCGAGCACCUGCCUGUUCCAGGUCCCUCCAGGACCGUCGCAGCACAUGCAGACCUUGAGCCGGUGUGGCUGCCAGGCCAGGUCUGUGAAGAUCCUCAGCCGUUGAGUGUUCCGGGCCCCUCCAAGAUCAAGCAAACAGCAGAUGUGCCGAAUGCAGAUCGGGCCCGUCCUGAGUCCUCAACGGCCCUCACAGGUCAUGUUGACCCUGAGCAGAUGCAUCCGCCAGUCCAGGUCUGCGACAGUCUUGAGUCAUCCUCAGCCGGGCCCCUCCAAUAUUAAGAAAAUGACGGAUGCAGAUUCGGUCAGUCCUGAGUCGCCUCCGUCUGUUCAAGACCCCUCUAAAAUUGAUGGGACUGAUGGUGAGUCAUCCUGAAUUUGGUUCAUUUUAUUUCUGCCAUCUGUUAUUUUUACUCUUUGCUUUUUUAGUUUAUAAAUCAGACAGUGUCAUUUCUUGUACUGUUGGUGUGUAUUAAUUAAUACACUGCAGCUCUGUUCAUGGAGAUGUUUCUGUUUGUUUUCUUCAUUUUAGAAAAACCCAAGAAAGGAAGGAAAGGGAAAAGAGUCUCUGCUUUCUUUAAGAGAGUAUGGAAGGCUGCGAAGUUCCCUUUCCUGCAUUUUACGCCACAGCCUGAGCCAGAGUCAGAGCCAGACCCAGACCUUGAGUCAGUAUUUCUGCCAGGCCAGGGUCCUGAGGAGGAUUCUGGGCUCA